GGGGGGGUGAAACAAAAGUUCAAGUCCAAAGCUUCAUAAGAUAACAUCAGUCACAGUAGCUUGGCUGUAGUUCCACAUGGAGGCUGGAGACUCAUCUUGCACAAACAGCCCAGAAAAAGGAACCCUUGGUGGAAGCAGCAGGACUUAUAGUGACCAGGAAAACGAUAUAAAAGAAUCUGCAACACAGAGGAAAGAGGACCUUGGCGCUCCAUUCCCAAGCAAGUACUCAAAGAAGCAAAAAACAGGCCAAAUCUGAUGUUUCCCUGGUUUACCAGAAGAUGGCGCUGAAGAAUAAGUGUUCCUUGAAAUGUUCUCAUUCGGUACCAGUGUGGGUGGUAGAACAAACAGGUCCCGGAGUGGAGUUGCAUCUUGCAAAAUUCAAUGCAGAACUUUUGAUCGCUGAAACUGCUGAACAAAUAAAAUGUUCUUGAGAUAUAGUAGAAUGCAAGUAC